rnacentral:rRNA from 1 species
UGGGGAAUAUUGCACAAUGGGGGAAACCCUGAUGCAGCGACGCCGCGUGAACGAAGAAGGUAUUCGUAUCGUAAAGUUCUGUCCUAUGGGAAGAUAAUGACAGUACCAUAGAAGAAAGCUCCGGCUAAAUACGUGCCAGCAGCCGCGGUAAUACGUAUGGAGCGAGCGUUGUCCGGAAUUAUUGGGCGUAAAGGGUACGCAGGCGGUUUAAUAAGUCGAAUGUUAAAGAUCGGGCUCAACCCCGCAAAGCAUUGGAAACUGAUAAACUUGAGUAGUGGAGAGGAAAGUGGAAUUCCUAGUGUAGUGGUGAAAUACGUAGAUAUUAGGAGGAAUACCAGUAGCGAAGGCGACUUUCUGGACACAAACUGACGCUGAGGUACGAAAGCGUGGGGAGCAAACAGG